rnacentral:lncRNA from 13 species
GAAUUGUUCUAGUGGGUUUAACUCUGCCUCAGUGCUGCCCAGCAACCAUCAGCUGGCCAAUAUUCACCCAUGGUAAGGUAAAUGGUCAGCAAAUCUAGACAAUAUAGCGAGAAGAUGGAUGAUUAUAGUGGAUAACGGACAAGUUAACCGCAGAAGUAUUUUCUUCUAGUGCACCACAGGAGCUGUCCUUGCUCAUGGGAACUUGUUCAUAUCUGGAAGGAUCCAAUACAGAAUC